rnacentral:rRNA from 1 species
GAGUUUGAUCCUGGCUCAGAACGAACGCUGGCGGCAGGCUUAACACAUGCAAGUCGAGCGCCCCGCAAGGGGAGCGGCAGACGGGUGAGUAACGCGUGGGAAUCUACCCUUUUSUACGGAAUAACGCAGGGAAACUUGUGYUAAUACCGUAUAAGCCCUUCGGGGGAAAGAUUUAUCGGGAAAGGAUGAGCCCGCGUUGGAUUAGCUAGUUGGUGGGGUAAAGGCCUACCAAGGCGACGAUCCAUAGCUGGUCARRGAGGAKGWUCAGCCRCAUUGGGACUGAGACACGGCCCAAACUCCUACGGGAGGCAGCAGUGGGGAAUAUUGGACAAUGGGCGCAAGCCUGAUCCAGCCAUGCCGCGUGAGUGAUGAAGGCCCUAGGGUUGUAAAGCUCU